GACGAACGCUGGCGGCGUGCUUAACACAUGCAAGUCGAACGGAAAGGCCCUGCUUUUGUGGGGUGCUCGAGUGGCGAACGGGUGAGUAACACGUGAGUAACCUGCCCUUGACUUUGGGAUAACUUCAGGAAACUGGGGCUAAUACCGGAUAGGAGCUCCUGCUGCAUGGUGGGGGUUGGAAAGUUUCGGCGGUUGGGGAUGGACUCGCGGCUUAUCAGCUUGUUGGUGGGGUAGUGGCUUACCAAGGCUUUGACGGGUAGCCGGCCUGAGGGGGUGACCGGCCACAUUGGGACUGAGAUACGGCCCAGACUCCUACGGGAGGCAGCAGUGGGGAAUAUUGCAAAAUGGGCGGAAGCCUGAUGCAGCAACGCCGCGUGCGGGAUGACGGCCUUCGGGUUGUAAACCGAUUUCGCCUGUGACGAAGCGUGAGUGACGGUAAUGGGUAAAGAAGCACCGGCUAACUACGUG
rnacentral:rRNA from 1 species